UACGUAGGGUGCGAGCGUUGUCCGGAAUUACUGGGCGUAAAGAGCUCGUAGGCGGUUUGUCGCGUCUGCUGUGAAAACGCGAGGCUCAACCUCGCGCCUGCAGUGGGUACGGGCAGACUAGAGUGCGGUAGGGGAGAUUGGAAUUCCUGGUGUAGCGGUGGAAUGCGCAGAUAUCAGGAGGAACACCGAUGGCGAAGGCAGAUCUCUGGGCCGUUACUGACGCUGAGGAGCGAAAGCGUGGGGAGCGAACAGG
rnacentral:rRNA from 1 species